rnacentral:rRNA from 1 species
UACGAAGGGGGCUAGCGUUGCUCGGAAUCACUGGGCGUAAAGGGUGCGUAGGCGGGUCUUUAAGUCAGGGGUGAAAUCCUGGAGCUCAACUCCAGAACUGCCUUUGAUACUGAAGAUCUUGAGUUCGGGAGAGGUGAGUGGAACUGCGAGUGUAGAGGUGAAAUUCGUAGAUAUUCGCAAGAACACCAGUGGCGAAGGCGGCUCACUGGCCCGAUACUGACACUCAGGUGCGACAGCGUGGGGAGCAAACAGG